rnacentral:rRNA from 1 species
CUGAACUUAAGCAUAUCAAUAAGCGGAGGAAAAGAAACCAACAGGGAUUGCCCUAGUAACGGCGAGUGAAGCGGCAACAGCUCAAAUUUGAAAUCUGGCGCAAGCCCGAGUUGUAAUUUGUAGAGGAUGCUUCUAGGUAGCGACCGGUCUAAGUUCCUUGGAACAGGACGUCAUAGAGGGUGAGAAUCCCGUAUGUGACUGGCCCGCACCUUCUACGUAGCUCCUUCGACGAGUCGAGUUGUUUGGGAAUGCAGCUCUAAAUGGGAGGUAAAUUUCUUCUAAAGCUAAAUACCGGCCAGAGACCGAUAGCGCACAAGUAGAGUGAUCGAAAGAUGAAAAGCACUUUGGAAAGAGAGUUAAAAAGCACGUGAAAUUGUUGAAAGGGAAGCGCUCACAACCAGACUUCUGGGCGGUGUUCCGCCGGUCUUCUGACCGGUCUACUCACCGUCCCGAGGCCAACAUCAUCUGGGACCGCCGGAUAAGACCUCAGGAAUGUAGCUCCCCUCGGGGAGUGUUAUAGCCUGUGGUGAUGCGGCGCGUCUCGGGUGAGGUCCGCGCUUCGGCAAGGAUGUUGGCGUAAUGGUUGUCAGCGGCCCGUCUUGAAACACGGACCAAGGAGUCUAACAUCUAUGCGAGUGUUCGGGUGUCAAACCCCUACGCGUAAUGAAAGUGAACGGAGGUGGGAAGGGUAACCUGCACCAUCGACCGAUCCUGAUGUCCUCGGAUGGAUUUGAGUAAGAGCAUAGCUGUUGGGACCCGAAAGAUGGUGAACUAUGCCUGAAUAGGGUGAAGCCAGAGGAAACUCUGGUGGAGGCUCGCAGCGGUUCUGACGUGCAAAUCGAUCGUCAAAUUUGGGUAUAGGGGCGAAAGACUAAUCGAACCAUCUAGUAGCUGGGUCCUG